CUACGGGGGGCUGCAGUGGGGAAUAUUGGGCAAUGGGCGCAAGCCUGACCCAGCAACGCCGCGUGAGGGAAGAAGGUUUUCGGAUUGUAAACCUCUGUCCUUGGGGACGAAGGAGUGACGGUACCCAAGGAGGAAGCUCCGGCUAACUACGUGCCAGCAGCCGCGGUAAUACGUAGGGAGCAAGCGUUGUCCGGAAUUACUGGGCGUAAAGGGUGCGUAGGCGGCAUAUUAAGUCAGGUGUGAAAUACUCGGGCUCAACCCGUGGGGUGCAUUUGAAACUGAUAAGCUUGAGUGUGAGAGAGGAAAGUGGAAUUCCUAGUGUAGCGGUGGAAUGCGUAGAUAUUAGGAGGAACACCAGUGGCGAAGGCGACUUUCUGGCUCAUAACUGACGCUGAGGCACGAAAGCGUGGGGAGCAAACAGGAUUAGAUACCCCUGUAGUC
rnacentral:rRNA from 1 species